rnacentral:rRNA from 1 species
GAUGAACGCUAGCUACAGGCUUAACACAUGCAAGUCGAGGGGAAACGAUGAGAGAGCUUGCUCUCUUAGUCGUCGACCGGCGCACGGGUGAGUAACGCGUAUCCAACCUGCCUCUGACCAAGGGAUAACCCGUCGAAAGUCGGACUAAUACCUUAUGCAGUCGUCGGAAGUCAUCUGAUGACGACGAAAGAUUUCAUCGGUGAGAGAUGGGGAUGCGUCUGAUUAGCUUGUUGGCGGGGUAACGGCCCACCAAGGCGACGAUCAGUAGGGGUUCUGAGAGGAAGGUCCCCCACAUUGGAACUGAGACACGGUCCAAACUCCUACGGGAGGCAGCAGUGAGGAAUAGUGGUCAAGGGGCGUAAGCCUGAACCAGCCAAGUAGCGUGCAGGAUGACGGCCCUAUGGGUUGUAAACUGCUUUUAUGCGGGGAUAAAGUGAGGGACGUGUCCUUCAUUGCAGGUACCGCAUGAAUAAGGACCGGCUAAUUCCGUG